rnacentral:lncRNA from 1 species
UUUUUGUGUGCAAACCCUAAAUUGGAAAUCCUAGAUUUUUGUUUACCCAAAUUGGCUCAAACCCUAAACCCUAAAUUAAACCCUAACCCUAAGGGUUUGGUAAGUUACAAUUUUGCCAUAAAAUAAAUUAUUAAAGGACCAAAAUGCCCUUUUUAGCAUUAAAGAAGCUAGACAUAGGUUUUGACAAUAGGAGAGAGUGGUUCACCAAAUCAACAACUCCCAACAACUCAAUAUGCACGAAUUUACCAGCAAAUCAGCUCCUAGAUCAGUCAUUCAUGCACCUUUGUGGGUCUAUUUAAGGAUUGAAGGAGAGAGAAAGUAAGUUUACUAACCUAAAAUUGUCCAACACUCAAUCAAGAACUUCUCCCACUAGAACCAACGAAAAUAUAUAGUUAUUCAGUCUAUUAUUGAAGCCCCACGAAAUCCAACAACAAAUCAAUAGCCAGAAA